UGAGGGGGCCGGCGCCGCCUGGAGGAAGGGUGACUCUUGUCUCCUCCUCGUCGACCUCCACCCGGGCGAGACUGGGGAAGUGGGUCCCGGGCGAGGCUGAGGGAGCAGACGAUCUGAAGAGAGGAGACUGUUAAGGAAAGGUGGCCGCCCUCAGUUGCCGGGCUUCGGGAAUGACCGGCAAAGCGGCCGCCUGAAGAGGCGGCGGUGGGUCCACGGACUGUUGCUGCCACCGCUCCCAGUGAUAGGUGUAUAAGGAGCGCAAAAGAGGCGGUGGCUCUUCGCAGUGGGGGAGGAAGGGCGCGCCGGCGACAGCGGCUCCAGUUUCUCCCGCAGCAGCAAUUUACAGCAGCUGGAAGAGCUAGUUGCCCGCAAAAUACCGACGCGCACCUACCCUCGCGAGAUUUCGGGAGGGGCGGUAACACGUGGGCGGGGCGAAGAGGUGGCGGGGGCGGUUCCAGAGAGGCAGCGCUCUGAUUACUUCUGCCUGGGAAGCCUAUCAAAAUGGCGCAAGCGCGUUGAGGGCGUUCGGUGAGGACCGGAAGUAGCCGAGAAGGGAGGGGUUGAGCCUCCCGAAGGGAGGAGUCUAGCACCGUGGUGCCCGGGAUUUGAGAGCGCGCGCCCGACGUAGGUGGGGUCAGUCAGAACGCCUAACUCCGUAACUGCAGUUCCAAAGAGACGCGUUUUGAGAGGGAUGAUUUUGGGUCGGUCUUUUUCUUGUAAAGAAAUGCUCUCGGGAAACGUUGGUGUGGACAUUUUGGCGUAUAUUUACGAUGUCUUACUAUCCAAGCCCGGAAUGUCCCACCCUAGGGCGUCGGCAGGUCCACCACCUCUGGCGUUACUAGAAUAACUCGCCCUUAUUGACUACGAGAUCUUUAAUUGAGAUCCCUAGAUACGAUCCUGCCGGCCAGAGGGUGGGGUCCUUGAGAUAUACCCGGGGAGUGUGCCAAUUCCAUGGAGUAAUGAUGGAUUUAUUGCUGGAGCUGAGCCAGUAUAAGGCCUCCGGUUACUUUUUCUCCGCACAUGUCUAUCGCUGCCGACACGAUGUGAGAGAAGUUCUUACUGCCCAAGAUGUGCGUCAGCUAAAUGACGAAGUCUUGCUCUGUCGCCCAGCCUGGAGCACUGUGGCGCAAUCUCGGCUCACUGCAACCUCUGCGUCCUGGAUUGAAGCAAUUAUCCUGCCUCAGCCUCCCCGGUAGCUGGGACUACAGUCGUGUGCCACCAUGCCCAGCCAGUUUCAGCUACUCUUAACAGAUAUCUCUGCUGACUUCAUAAAGUCUCAAGUUAAAGAACUUUCCAUACAUCACACACUGUUAUGGGUGCAUUGCCUGCUGACCACAGUCAAGAUCCUGAUGCCUAAAGUGAACAAAGCUACAUAAGCAGCAUCUCUUAUUGCAGUGGUUUUCAAACUAUACACUCAACUGGAGAGCCUGUUAGAAUACAGAUUCUGGGACUUCACUCCAGAUCUAUUGAAUUCUGAUCUCUGGGAGAUCCCCCAAAUCAGCAUUUAUUUAUUUAUUUAUUUAGAGACAGAGUCUUGCUCUGUCGCCCAGGCUGGAGUGCAGUGGCACGAUCUCGGCUCACUGCAAGCUCUGCCUCCUGGGUUCAUGCCAUUCUCCUGCCUCGGCCUCCUGAGUAGCUGGGACUACAGGCGCCUGCCACCACACCUGGAUAAUUUUUUGUAUUUUUAGUGGAGACGGGGUUUCACCAUGUUAGCCAGGAUGGUCUCGAUCUCCUGACCUUGUGAUCCACCUGCCUCAGCCUCCCAAAGUGCUGGGAUUACAGGUGUGAGCCACUGCGCCCGGCCAAAAUCAGCAUUUUAAGAAGCUUCCCCAAAAUGACUGAUGCAGGUGGUCCUUAGGUAACCCUUUAAACAAUGUUUAUCUGAGGGAGCAAUGCAUUAUAUUUUCGUGUUGUGAAGACUUGUCAUUUCAUUGUCAGGUUGAGGAUUCCAGCCAUAAAUACUCGGAGACGUCUAUGGACAAAUGCCUUCCUUCCUCCAAGUGACUGUGAAAUUUGGAGAGGAGAGUUCAGAAAAUGGGAGUGUUAAAAUAUAAACGUAAGAAUCUUAAAUAUCUGUAAAUGCUUGUGGCAAUUAGUGGUGGUGGGCAUGCUUUUGAAGAUGUGUAUUGUUAAUUUUUGAAUGAGAGGAAAGUAUAAACUGGAAGAAGGUAAGCACAUGCAGCCCAACAUGGUAGGUGAGUGAUUUGUAGGUGUAGACUUGUAAAAAGCAAAUCCAAGGCCGGGCGCUGUGGCUCAUGCCUGUAAUCCCAGCACUUUGGGAGACUGUGGCAGGUGGAUCACCUGAGGUUAGGAGUUUGAGACCAACCUGGCCAACAUGGUGAAACCUCAUCUCUACUAAAACUAGGCAGUCGUGGUGGUACAAGCCUGUAAUCCCAGCUACUCGGGAGGCUGAGGCAAGAGAAUUGCUUGAACCUGGGAGGCAGAUGUUGCAGUGAGCUGAGAUCACGCCACUGCACUCCAGCCUGGGUGACAGACUGAGACUCUGUCAAAAAAAAAAAAAAAAAAAAAAUCAAACCCCAAAUUCAAGAGUGUUUUUGGGAAAAAGAGACAAAAAACAUGUGAGAUGAUCAGUGUCAGGGUCAGGAAGAAGCUUAUGAGAGCUGGGUACAGAAUAUAUGAUGGUGGCUGCAAAGUGCAGGAUCCAGGGACAGUUGCAGACUAUUCGGUAUGUUAUAACCCUGUGGACAGCGAUCAGGAAUAGUCUGGAAGCAGAGCCUCUGUCACAAGCAGGGAGGAGGAGAUAGGGAGAAACAGGACAUCCUAGGAGAAGCCAGAGGGAAACUAGUCAAGUGGGUGAUGAGAGGUAGUCAGGAAGUUAGUGCUCUUUCAAUCAGAAACCAAGAAAACUGUGUCUGUUGAAGACCAGAUAACAAAGGACUUUGCCUCUUGAGAGACUAAAAAGGAAGUAAAAGCCUGUAUUGUAAUCUGGAACUGAAAAUUGGAAGUAGGGAAGAUUAAUUUGAAAAACUAAGACUUCAAAUUCAGGGUCUAGUGACUAUAUAGAGGGAGUGUUAACAGUGAAUAUUGGAAGGACUUUGUUAGUAGUCUCACCUGUGCAAAGUUAAGCAAUCAUUUGCCAUCACUACAAGUACAAGUAGCUCUUCCCCAAAUUCUCCUUUCAUGGCUUUCAGUUUAGUUGCGUUCUGGAAUAGACUGAGGGAGCCAGUCGGAGUCAGCUAUAGGGUGUCCAGGUCCAUUUCACUGCAUCUGCAACCCUAAUCAAUCUUUCAGUUUAGGAACAAAGAUGUUCACCCCUUAAGUAUUGAAAAUAGGAAGAAUAUUUGUCAUUUUUAUCCCAAAGAGUCCUCCUCAGACUAUGGUUGAGGCAACAUCUAGCUACCU
ensembl:lncRNA